GGCGGAAAAUGGAAAGGUGUUAUUUUGUAUCAUCUAUUAGAUGAAAAAAAGCGUUUCAAUGAGUUGCGAAGGCUCAUUCCCGGCA
rnacentral:tRNA from 1 species